GGAGUCAGUGCGGGCAAGCCUAAACAUGCAAGUCGAGCGGAACGAGUUAUCUGAACCUUCGGGGGACGAUAACGGCGUCGAGCGGCGGACGGGUGAGUAAUGCCUAGGAAAUUGCCCUGAUGUGGGGGAUAACCAUUGGAAACGAUGGCUAAUACCGCAUGAUGCCUACGGGCCAAAGAGGGGGACCUUCGGGCCUCUCGCGUCAGGAUAUGCCUAGGUGGGAUUAGCUAGUUGGUGAGGUAAGGGCUCACCAAGGCGACGAUCCCUAGCUGGUCUGAGAGGAUGAUCAGCCACACUGGAACUGAGACACGGUCCAGACUCCUACGGGAGGCAGCAGUGGGGAAUAUUGCACAAUGGGCGCAAGCCUGAUGCAGCCAUGCCGCGUGUGUGAAGAAGGCCUUCGGGUUGUAAAGCACUUUCAGUCGUGAGGAAGGUGGUGUAGUUAAUAGCUGCAUUAUUUGACGUUAGCGACAGAAGAAGCACCGGCUAACUCUGUGCCAGGCAGCCGCAA
rnacentral:rRNA from 1 species